ensembl:lncRNA
GGCGGGGCGGGGCGAGGGGAAACGAGGCGGGGUGAGGCAUGGCGAGGUGGGGCGAGGCUAGGCGUGGCCAGGUGAGGCGGGGCAAAGCGGGCUGGGUCUAUGCGUUGUGAGGCGGGAGAGACGGGGCGAGGUGGGGCGAGGCAGGGCAAUGCGUGGCAGGCGAGGCGGGGCGGGGCGAGGUGAGGGGAAGCGAGGUGGGGCCAGGCGAGGUGAGGCAAGGUGAGGCGAGGCGAGGCAAGGCAAGGCGGGGCGAGGCAAGGUGAGGCGGGGCAAGGCGAGGCGAGGUGGGGUGAGGCGGGACGGGGCGAAGCUAGGCGAGACGUGGGAGGCUAGGCGGGGUGGGGCGAAACGGGGCGAUGUUGGACGAAGCGGGACAGAGUGGAGCGACGCGGGGCAAGGCUAGGCGUGGCGGGGUGGGGGCAAGCGAGGCGGGGCGAGGCGAGGCGAGACGAGGCGUUGUGAGGGGAAGUGAGGUGGGGCAAGGCGGGGCAAGGCGAGGCGGGGAGAGGCGGAGCAAGGCAGGGAGGGGAGAGGCGUGGCAGGGUGAGGCAGGGCGAGGCAAGGCGAGGCAAGGAGAUGCAGUGCGGCGCAGGCCGGGCGAGGUGAAGUGAGGCGGGGCGGGGCAAGACGAG